AACGAACGCUGGCGGCAUGCCUAACACAUGCAAGUCGAACGAGACCUUCGGGUCUAGUGGCGCACGGGUGCGUAACGCGUGGGAACCUGCCCUUAGGUUCGGAAUAACUCCCCGAAAGGGGUGCUAAUACCGGAUAAUGUCUUCGGACCAAAGAUUUAUCGCCUUUGGAUGGGCCCGCGUUGGAUUAGCUAGUUGGUAGGGUAAAAGCCUACCAAGGCGACGAUCCAUAGCUGGUCUGAGAGGAUGAUCAGCCACACUGGGACUGAGACACGGCCCAGACUCCUACGGGAGGCAGCAGUGGGGAAUAUUGGACAAUGGGCGAAAGCAUGAUCCAGCAAUGCCGCGUGAGUGAUGAAGGCCUUAGGGUUGUAAAGCUCUUUUACACGGGAUGAUAAUGACAGUACCGGGAGAAUAAGCUCCGGCUAACUCCGUG
rnacentral:rRNA from 1 species